GAGUUAAGCUAGUUAUUAACUCUCGAAACUGAUCAUAGUGGCAUUCUACCUCAGGGUAAUUAAUGGGCAUAAUGCAUCCUGAGGCAAGAAAACACCAAAGAAGCAGUUUUAGUCUUACUUUAAACUAAGCCAAGCAAGGCCAACAGUGUUCCUCUGAAGAGGGAGCACAGGCCCGUGUGGUUGAUGUUAUUACUGAUACAAGCGCUUUUAGGAAGCGGUCAACUUUGUGCCAAUUCGUACUUUCUUCUUUUAUAUUUAAUUUUUACUUUUUAUUUAUUUCAGGCAUAUCUUCCCUUCCCAUCUGCAGAAAGACGGAGCUGAGCGGAACCCAGAGGCAAUUAAGAUCUGCACCACGUGCUGCUUUCAAGAAGAAGGUGAGGAAACACGCUGGCCAUUAUGCAGAGAUCACGGAGAUGAAGGAAGAGUCACGCUAAUGAAGACAGGAAGGACGAUGAACUCAGACUCGGGGAGACAGGAAAGUGAAUAAAAGCACCAGACUGAAACACAGCAGCAAUUUUAUUCCAGCAGCAAUCUUCUGAAACAGAAAUUGGGAUUAAAAACACGUUUAUAAUGAACAACCAGCAACCUCCGCAGACCAGCAGCAUUCACGUGGGGGACAGAGGAUCAGUCAGCAGCAAGGUCAGAAGCUGAAAUGGGUGCUGGAGCCCCAGAGACCCCCAUGAGAAAGAGCCACCAGCCGUCUCUCCCUGCCGCAGUGAGCUGACGGAGCUGGCAAUUCUUCCGCAGGCAUCAAGGUCCUGAUCUUGCUCCCAGCAAAGUCAAAGGCAAAAUUCCCAUUGUAUGAUGGAUCACAACUAAUUUCCUGCAGGCUCGAUGAAGUUGCUCGAACCAGCUUCCAAAAACAAGCCAAUGCAUUUUAAAACCACAGCUGGGGGUCUACUGUAUUAUAACGUGACCCCUGAGAGGGUACAAAUUGCUGUGAGCAGCAGCCGCAGACAAUCUGAGGCAGAUUUAGGGUAUUUCAAGCCAGGGACGGCUCAGCUUCUGCCAUCGCCCUUCUGUGCGGAGGUUUGUUUAGUGUUUUGCCUGCCCUCUGUGUAAACGGUGAUGAACCUGAACCACUAACCUCUCCUCUGCUUUGCUCAUAAGGCGAACAGCAAAGUGCAGCCAAUUCCUCCGGAGGAAGCAGCAGAUCAGGCGGCCUUUAUGCAUUAUCCUCAGAGUGCGUGAGGGCAGUCAGCAAUGUAAAUGUCAUGAAAAGACAGUGAGAGUGACAGCAGGAUGACCGGCUGGUUAGGAACUGCACUGCCCACAAGCUGCUUCUGAGUCCUACCAAUAAUCAGAGAAAUUGGACCUAUGGUGGACACCGGAGGCCAUCACCAAGAUGAGAACUUGGCACAUUUUUGCACAUUUCCACCAGCUCAAAUAAUAUCCUUGCUAUUGCCCUCGUAAAACAUUGACCACGGCAGCAGGUCUCUCCAUCCUUCCCAAAUCUGGCAGUGUGGCAGAGCCACAUCAUCUUCAGGUAUCCCUCUUAGAGUUACCCGCUCUUGGAGCAACCAUAUCUGCCCCAGCUUAUUGCACCAUCCACUAAGGGUCAGCACAGAAACCCAAGCAGGCUAGAUCAAAAGCCACAUAGUGAAAAAGAGCUGAAGGCAUCUGUGCUCAAAGCAUGUUCACUCGCACUCAUUUCAGGCCUAAAACUGCAGUGUUUUUCUACCAGUCUUCAGAGGGAAGGAGUUGAAGACCCCCAUCCUGUGAGAGGUUUCUCCUACAAAACAUUGUCCAUGUCACAGAAGAGCUGGAAAUAGUGUCAGGAGGAAGGGUUUGGCCAGUUUGGAUAUUACUCUAAAUCCUUGUCCUUUAGAAUCGCACUAGUUUUACGCAAAGACAACCCACAACACUUGCAUUUGAUCAUAAGUACCAGAAGAGUACAGUUUUUCACAUUGUUACAGCUUCUCCUGCUUGCUCAAACUGUGAUGGAGAACAGAUAAUCUUUAGAAGAAAAGCACAAAUGGAAAGCUGGUUAAAAAGUGGGGAAGCGUCAAUCAGCCACACAAAGCUGACAACAGAUCAAAGACCGUAUCAAUGAUUAACAGGAGUAGAUCAGGGAUUUUUGUUUUUUCAAAGCUUAUUCUGAGCCAGCUGAAAGUGAAAUACGUGGUGCUACAACCUUCCGGUGUGUUUCAGCAUAAAAGAAAGUCCUACUUCAUAUCCAUCAGCAAACUGCAGACCUGGCAUUUCUCUUCACUUCUUCACCCUUCAGUCGAUCAAACAGGCUGUUCUGAGCAUCUGACAACCUUGCUGUAGCCAACUCGAGUUAAACAUCAAAGAAAUAAAAGCCCAAGACCUGGCUUGAUGUUUCGUGUG
rnacentral:lncRNA from 1 species